UAGAGGUUUGGUCCUGGCCUUGCUAUUAAUUUCUGCUACGCUUACACAUGCAAGUAUCUGCACUCCCGUGAAAAUGCCCUAUACUACCAACAAGUAGAACAGGAGCAGAUAUCAGGCACUUAUAUUGCCAAAGACAUCUUGUUCAACCACACCCCCAAGGGAAUUCAGCAGUGAUAGACAUUGAACAAUAAGCGACACAAGCUUGAAUCAGCGAUAGUCAACAGAGUCGGUAAAUCUCGUGCCAGCCACCGCGGUUAUACGAGAGACUCAAAUUAAUUUAAUCGGCCCAAAGAGUGGUUAGACGUGCAAGCUAAAUAAGGCUAAAAACUAACCCUGCUGUCGUACGCAAAGGUUAAAAAAAACACAACACCGAAAGCAACCUUACAAGAACACCAUUGAACCCACGACAGCUAGGACACAAACUGGGAUUAGAUACCCCACUAUGCCUAGCCAUAAACUUUGACCCCCCCCAUCCGCCCGAGUACUACGAGCAACAGCUUAAAACUCAAAGGACUUGGCGGUGCUCUACACCCCCCUAGAGGAGCCUGUUCUAUAAUCGAUAAUCCACGAUAAACCUCACCACUUAUUGCCAAUACAGCCUAUAUACCACCGUCCAGCCCACCCUUCAAGGGACCAAAAGUAGGCACAAUUAUACACAUAAAAACGUCAGGUCAAGGUGUAGCAAAUAAAGCGGGAAGAAAUGGGCUACAUUUUCUAACCUAGAAAACACGGAAAAGUUUAUGAAAUAAAACUACGAAGGAGGAUUUAGCAGUAAAAAGAAAAAAGAGCGUUCUUUUUAAACCGGCAAUGGAGCGCGCACACACCGCCCGUCACCCUCUUCAAGCACUAUUUUAUAUUAAAUAAACAAAGAGAAAAAAGAAGAAGAGGCAAGUCGUAACAUGGUAAGUUUACCGGAAGGUGAACUUGGAA
rnacentral:ncRNA from 1 species